CAGGGUGUAGUUCAGUGGUAGAGCACUUGCCUAGCAUGCACCAAGCUCUGGGUUUGAUCCCCAGCACAAUAA
rnacentral:tRNA from 1 species